AUUAUUAUGCUUUCUUUUAUGUAAGGUUUAUCAUGGAGAAAAGAAGAGAGCUUUUUGUCUCGAAGACAAAAUAUUUAAUUACUUGAAUAAGAAAGGAGUUCAAAAAGCUCUCCAUAAUAGGAUUUCCUCGUGGCAAACUUGUGGUUAUUCCUACUCGGAAGAAAUUUUCUCUUUUCUUCGUCUAUCAAUCUUAUCUGAGGACAUAUAAUGAAGCCUUUUGAUUUUGUAACUUUAUUUCAGGUUAUCGAUAGGUGAUCCACGCUCUGAUAGGUGAUACUAUGUGGGAGUAAAUUUGUCUUAUUUUGUUGAGUUAUGAACUAAUUUAGAUUUUUGUAAAUUCAAUCGAUCAAUUGUGUUAUUAUUAUCUUUUAUUUGGAGGUAGAAAUUAAUUGUCUCUAAAGUUAGAAUGUGCUUUUACGUCAAUACCAAAGGGAUUUUUUUCAUUGAAAUUUUUAUGCAAAUAUUUUGUGUAAGUCUGAAUGUGACGCCUCGAACCUUGUAGUUUAAAAGAAAACUUUUACACUCUAUUUUAGAACCGAUGUGAAUCUCUUUCAAAACUAGUACAUUUUACUUUUUAUU